rnacentral:tRNA from 1 species
GGGGCCGUAGCUCAGCUGGGAGAGCAUCUGGUUUGCAACCAGAAGGUCAGGGGUUCGAGACCCCUCGGCUCCA